GGUCCCUGUUGUAAUGUCUCCAGGUAGUAGAUUAGAUGACAGGCUAGUCAAACCCUCUCCUGUUACUGUACACCUUGCCCCACCUGUACGACCUUACCUCUCCUAGCCCGGAUUAAUAAUACACUAUCUCCACAUAGUAUGUAGGACUCGGUUAUACCUGAUAAUACGACCAACAGGGACGAGAAGAAAGGGAAAUUCUCGAAGAUCCAUAUAUAUACUGCUUGGUGAUUUUAACUGUGUUAUUGUUGUGUAUUAUGAAGUAAGAGACUAUAGACUUGUGUAGUGGGGUAAUUUAUAUAUUAAUAACAACAGACAUCACUGACUGCUGUAAAUCUAUACACGUGAAAAAUGGCGAAUUGUAUGUGGAUUCUAACAGUGUUAUGUACCUGUAUGGUACAAGGUGUAUUAGGACAAGCUGUAGGUGAUGUAAGUGGUCUGAUAGCAGCAGCUGUAAUUGGUUUCUUUAUGUUAAUAAUUGUAAUAACAAUGUUAGCCUUAUUACUUACACUAGAUAGUUGGUAUCCUAAACUACAAAUGUGGAGAGGUAAAGUAAAAAUACCUCGUCAUGUUAUUGCAUUAAGGAAAGCUCGAGCAAAGAAAGCGGCUUCAGAUAGAAGCAUGGUAGUUGCAGCCGGCAAUGGUACUUUAAAUGGUAAAGUACCAAUGCAUGUAUCAGACCAAGAUUCAAGAUCGUGGGUUGAAGGCUGGAAUUCUGGUGAAGUGAAAGAAUACGAAACAAAGGAUGUCACCAUGACGUUAGGUGAGGAGAAAGAUACCGACGAAUACAGAAUCGUGGCAGAAUUAGUUGACAACGAGGCUUUAGAUUUGGGUCCUUACCACACAUUGUCCGAUAAAACAGUCGUUGGGUCCAGUAAUUGGGUACCACCAGAAGAGACAAAAGAAGGGCCUAUAUAUUCGGCCGUUAACAGAGCAAGCCAAAAAUCAAAUCAAAGUAGUCCCGGUCAUCAAUACGAAGAAACGGAAACGUCAUUUUCCGCCUUGACAGCCGACCCAGCCGUUGUUAUUAUGUAAAAUGGAUUUUUUAAACACAUAUUGCUGAUAUCUUAUUCUUCCAUUAAAAAUUAACACGCAUUAAUAUUAUUAUACAUGUCUACAUUAACCUACUGCUUCAUGUUAAACUUAUUGCUAUUUUCUUUUCAAAUUAUUUUCUUGCAAAGUGAAACUACUCUAGUACAUCGGGUUUUACCGAUACAGGGCCUAUUAUUAUUGCAGUUUCCAGGUUAUUCCAUCAACUGUCAAAAUCCGCCCAAUUUCAACUCUAACAGGAUAUCACAUGUAGCUUUGAAUGAAUAAAGUCUAACGGAAUACGGGGUGCGAUAAUGUUAAAAAUCUCCUUACCUUACAAUGAAAGGUAUGGAGUUUUUCACGCCUCCUUAAUCUUAAGGAAGUCGGGCACACUGCAUUUUGGUAGAGAUCUGACUGCUGUAGAUCUGAGUUUUGUUUCUGUUUUAUCAAGACACAUGGCUGAAAAAUCAAAAUGAAUGAUGUAUGACUGAUUGAACUUUCUGUUGUAUAUUUUAUUGUGUAUUAUUUGCUUUUUAUAUAUAUCAUAUUCAUCUAUAUUACUUACAUCAUUUAUUGUGUGGACAUUAUGUUCGAAUUUUGUCAAAAUUGGCUGUGUUAUUGUACAUAGUAGCAAUAGAUACUUACCUGCUUUUUAUAAUUCAAGUAUUUACACUAAAUGAACAACAACGUAUAAAGAUAGAUUAGCAAUUAUUUUCAGACAUAGAAAUCUACAUGUAUAUACAUAUUUAAAUAUGAUAAAAAAAAAUCAGUUUUAUUUUGAUCAAAAUGUUAGAUUCAUAACCAUUGCAUGUAUUGAAAUAUUCAAAUCAGAUUACUUGAUUCUUCAUAGAAUCUACAUGCUAAAAUAUUGUUUCAAAAUAUGAAUAUUUUCACAUUUAAAAAAAAGGUUUAAUUUAUGACAUAACAUCAAAAGUAAAUUAUAUAAAUUGCCAUUUAAUAUUCUCUUGAUUAUGUAGCUUUUUAAACAGAUCAUUGCAGACAGAACAAGUUUUAAGUAUUACAUUUUGCUGGGAUUUGACUCCACAAAACGAAUUGUGAUAUUCGAUAUUAUUUUAUAUCUCUUUGGGUCAAUAAUUUAUUUUAAUAAAACAAAAUGUUGCCUACACAUAUAUAAUACAUUCCAUUACUUAUCACAUAAUAAUAUAGCUUGUAUUAGGAGAUUUCAGUUUGUAUAUACAUGUAUAUAUAUAUAUAUAUCUCCCGUUAUUAUUUCACUGUUGAAAUAAAUUUAUAUCUAUUU